rnacentral:rRNA from 1 species
CAGCCAUGCCGCGUGUAUGAAGAAGGCCUUCGGGUUGUAAAGUAUUUCAGCAGUGAGGAAGGUGGGUAGUGUUAAUAGCACUAUCAUUUGACGUUAGCUGCAGAAGAAGCACCGGCUAACUCCGUGCCAGCAGCCGCGGUAAUACGGGAGGGUGCGAGCGUUAAUCGGAAUUACUGGGCGUAAAGCGCAUGCAGGUGGUUUGUUAAGUCAGAUGUGAAAGCCCGGGGCUCAACCUCGGAAUUGCAUUUAGAAACUGGCAGACUAGAGUACUGUAGAGGGGGUAGAAUUUCAGGUGUAGCGGUGAAAUGCGUAGAGAUCUGAAGGAAUACCGGUGGCGAAGGCGGCCCCCUGGACAGAUACUGACACUCAGAUGCGAAAGCGUGGGGAGCAAACAGGAUUAGAUACCCUGGUAG